UACGGGGGGGGUAAGCGUUGUUCGGAAUUACUGGGCGUAAAGGGCUCGUAGGCGGCCAACUAAGUCGGACGUGAAAUCCCUCAGCUUAACUGGGGAACUGCGUCCGAUACUGGAUGGCUUGGAUUUGGGAGAGGGAUGCGGAAUUCCGGGUGUAGCGGUGGAAUGCGUAGAUAUCCGGAGGAACACCGGUGGCGAAGGCGGCUUCCUGGACCGACACUGACGCUGAGGCGCGAAAGCUAGGGGAGCAAACGGG
rnacentral:rRNA from 1 species